GAUGAACGCUGGCGGCGUGCCUAAUACAUGCAAGUCGAGCGAACAGACGAGGAGCUUGCUCCUCUGAUGUUAGCGGCGGACGGGUGAGUCACACGUGGAUAACCUACCUAUAAGACUGGGAUAACUUCGGGAAACCGGAUCUAAUACCGGAUAACAUGUUGAACCGCAUGGUUCAACAGUUAAAGACGUUCUUGCUGUCACUAUUCGCUGGUUCCGCGCUGCAUUAGCUAGUUGGUAAGGUAACGGCUUACCAAGGCAACGCUGCGUAGCGGACCUGAGAGGAUGAUAAGCAACAUUGGAACUGAGAAACGGUCCAGCGUCCUAGGGGAGGCAGCAGUGGGGAAUAUUGGACAAUGGGCGAAAGCCUGAAGGAGCAACGCAGCGUGGGUGAAGAAGGUCUUCGGAUUGUAAAACACUUUUAUUGGGGAAGAAAAGAUGUAAGUGAAAACAUGGAUGUUUUGACGGUACAAAAAGAAAAAGCACCGGAUAACUACGUG
rnacentral:rRNA from 1 species